rnacentral:rRNA from 1 species
GACGAACGCUGGCGGCGUGCCUAAUACAUGCAAGUAGAACGCACAGUUUAUACCGUAGCUUGCUACACCAUAGACUGUGAGUUGCGAACGGGUGAGUAACGCGUAGGUAACCUGCCUGGUAGCGGGGGAUAACUAUUGGAAACGAUAGCUAAUACCGCAUAAUAUUGAUUAUUGCAUGAUAAUUAAUUGAAAGGUGCAAUUGCACCACUACCAGAUGGACCUGCGUUGUAUUAGCUAGUAGGUGAGGUAACGGCUCACCUAGGCGACGAUACAUAGCCGACCUGAGAGGGUGAUCGGCCACACUGGGACUGAGACACGGCCCAGACCCCUAAGGGAGGCAGCAGUAGGGAAUCUUCGGCAAUGGACGAAAGGCUGACCGAGCAACGCCGCGUGAGUGAAGAAGGUUUUCGGAUCGUAAAGCUCUGUUGUAAGCGAAGAACGGGUGUGAGAGUGGAAAGUUCACACUGUGACGGUAUCUUACCAGAAAGGGACGGCUAACUACGUG